rnacentral:rRNA from 1 species
GAUGAACGCUAGCUACAGGCUUAACACAUGCAAGUCGAGGGGCAGCAUGAUUGAAGCUUGCUUCAAUCGAUGGCGACCGGCGCACGGGUGAGUAACACGUAUCCAACCUGCCGAUAACUCGGGGAUAGCCUUGCGAAAGUAAGAUUAAUGCCCGGUGUUCCGCGAGGGCCGCAUGGCCUUUUCGGCAAAGUUUUUUUACGGAUGAGAUGGCGGUGCGUCCCAUUAGCUUGUUGGCGGGGUAACGGCCCACCAAGGCGACGAUGGGUAGGGGUUCUGAGAGGAAGGUCCCCCACAUUGGAACUGAGACACGGUCCAA